rnacentral:misc_RNA from 1 species
GACGAAGAACGUAGCGAAAUGCGAUACGUAGUGUGAAUUGCAGAAUUCCGUGAACCAUCAAAUCUUUGAACGCAUAUUGCGCUCGAGGCUUCGGCCGAGAGCAUGUCUGCCUCAGCGUCGGUAUUACCCCUCGCUUCUCAACCCCUGGUUGAUGCCUGCCUGCCUUUGCAGUUGGCUAGAAGCGGAUCUGGCUUUCCCAAUUGCCUUUGGUAGUUGGGUCAGCUGAAGCACAGAGGCUUGAGCAAGGACCCUUAUUGGGCUUCAACUGGAUAGGUAGAACUGGUCUUAGGACCAACUACACGAAGUUGUUGCUUGUGGUCUUUUGUCUGGAGGCCAGCAGGAAACCUUUAUACCUUCGACCUGAGCUCAGGCAAGAUUACCCGCUGAACUUAAGCAUAUCAAUAAGCGGAGGA